CUCUCAUUUUACAGAUCAAGAAUGGAGGCCAAGCAGGCUGUGAUCUUCUGGAGAGCAGGGACUGUCUUUUACCUUUCUUUGGAUCUCCAUUGCCUAGUGUGGUGUAUACCACACAGUUGGUGCUUAAUAAAUGGUUAGUGACUGGCUAACUGA